CCUACGAGAGGCUGCAGUGAGGAAUAUUGGUCAAUGGACGAAAGUCUGAACCAGCCAAGUAGCGUGAAGGAUGACUGCCCUAUGGGGUGUAAACUUCUUUUAUAUGGGAAUAAAAUGUUCCACGUGUGGGAUUUUGUAUGUAACAUAUGAAUAAGGAUCGGCUAACUCCGUUCCAGCAGACGCGGUACUCCGGAGGAUCCGAGCGUUAUCAGGAUUUAUUGGGUUUCAAGUGAGCGUAGGUGGAUUGUUAAGUCAGUUGUGAAAGUUUGCGGCUCAACCGUAAAAUUGCAGUUGAAACUGGCAGUCUUGAGUACAGUAGAGGUGGGCGGAAUUCGUGGUGUAGCGGUGAAAUGCUUAGAUAUCACGAAGAACUCCGAGUGCGAAGGCAGCUCACUGGACUGCAACUGACACUGAGGCUCGAAAGUGUGGGUAUCAAACAGGAUUAGAUACCCGGGUAGUC
rnacentral:rRNA from 1 species